rnacentral:rRNA from 1 species
GACGAACGCUGGCGGCGUGCUUAACACAUGCAAGUCGAACGGUGAAGGGAUCAGCUUGCUGGUUCUGGAUGAGUGGCGAACGGGUGAGUAGCACGUGAGUAACCUGCCCCCUUCUUCUGGAUAACCGCAUGAAAGUGUGGCUAAUACGGGAUAUUCUGCGCCUGCUGCAUGGUGGGUGUGGGAAAGAUAUUGUUUCGGUGGGGGAUGGGCUCGCGGCCUAUCAGCUUGUUGGUGGGGUGAUGGCCUACCAAGGCGGUGACGGGUAGCCGGCCUGAGAGGGUGGACGGUCACACUGGGACUGAGACACGGCCCAGACUCCUACGGGAGGCAGCAGUGGGGAAUAUUGCACAAUGGGCGCAAGCCUGAUGCAGCGACGCCGCGUGAGGGAUGGAGGCCUUCGGGUUGUGAACCUCUUUCGCCAGUGAAGCAGGCCUGUCCCUUGUGGGUGGGUUGACGGUAGCUGGAUAAGAAGCGCCGGCUAACUACGUG